UCUAAUCCUUUAGGGAGAGAGAUGGAUUGAAGCUUAGUAAUUCAUUUGGGCUUGGUUUGACAAGGGGGUCAGCAUGUGGCCCAGAUUGAUCAUGGGCCAACCAGGCCCAAAAUGUACCAAGGAUGAAGCUACGGAGAGCAUAAACCCGAUCCAAUUGACUUUGAGCACUGAGGUGUAGAUUGAGAGAUCGUGGACGAUGGAGGAAGAGAGCGGAGGAGGGCCGAGGGUGGUGGCGAUUUCGCUGAUAGAGAAGGCGACGAACUCCACGGCGUCGGAGGUUGACCCGCGCCUUCUCAAAUCCAUCAAAUCGGUGGUACGAUCUUCCGAUUCGGAGCUCCGAAUCGCCGCCCAAACCUUAAUGGACCUCAUGAAGCGAGACCAUGCUCAGGUGCGGUACCUUGCACUUCUCAUAAUUGAUGAACUGUUCAUGCGAUCAAAGCUUUUCAGAACCCUCCUUGUUGUGAACUUGGAUCAAUUAUUGAGUUUAAGUGUCGGAUUUAGAAGAAAUCAACCACUCCCUGCUCCUGCUGCUGUUGCAUCUAUUUUGCGUUCAAAGGCAAUUGAAUUCUUAGAGAAGUGGAACACUUCAUUUGGGAUUCAUUACAGACAGCUCAGAUUAGGGUUUGACUACUUGAAAAACACUCUUAGAUUUCAAUUUCCUAAUCUACAAGCAAAUGCUGCCCGGAUUCAACAAGAGAGAAAGGAAAGGGAGAUGAGGUCAAAAGAGAUUUUACUGAAGAAGUUUGAAACACUGAAAGAAAAGUUUUCUUCUAUUAAAGAGGAAAUUCAGUUAACAAUGGAUGAGAUAAGGGAAUGUUUAGACAUUGUACGUCCUAAAGAUGAAAGUGUGCCCCUGGAUUUCAUAGAGGAUGAUGAAAUGGAAGAGUUCUGUAGUUCUGAAUUGCGGCAGAUCCGUCUUGAUUCAUUGAAAGAAGCAGAAAAAGUUCAUGAGAAUAGUGAUAAUAAAGUGGUUUUUGAUGCAUUGAGGGAGCUGUACAAGCUCCUAGUGACAAGGCAUUUGGUUUCAGCACAAGAAUGGAUCUCUGUUCUUAUAAGGGUUGAAGUGGCAGAUAACAGAUCCAGAGACUCGAUGCUGAAGGAGUUCAUUGAUAUCCGGAAUCAUAUCCAGUCAGUGAAGAAGAAAUGUGAAGAAUCAGGCUGUGUUCUUGCUAAUACUAUGAAUGAUGAGGAAGAGGAUUUUUGGGAGGAGGGUAAGAUAGAACUAUCUGAGAGUGAUAGUUUUACUGCAGCAAACAAGCAAAGUAAAGAUCUUGCCAAGGCAUCAACUUCCAGCAAAGCAAAAAGUGAAGCUCCUGAAUGUAGUAAUAAAGAGUCUAAUGGCAAUAAGAGGUCAGGUCGGGAAAGCAUUGAAAGUGAUUCAACCUCCCUGAGAAGUAAGCUUUUGGCUGAAGCUCCAUUAAUGAAUUGGGGCUCCUUCUUGGAUAACUGGGGUUCAAAGCAAGAUGUUUUGGCUAACCAGAGAGGAUUGGAGCUUGAAGGCCACUGGGGUAGGGUAGAUUAUGAUGCAGUUAUUCCAGCAGAAAAAAUUGCAGAGUUGAACAUUCAGACAACUGUUUACAAGGAAGAACGUGUCGAUAUCCAACCAUGCCGUGCUCCAUUGAGCAAAGGCGGGCUUUGUCAGAGACAAGAUUUGAGAGUUUGCCCUUUUCAUGGGCCCAUAAUACCUCGAGAUGAUGAAGGAAAACCAAUCCAUGAGAACUCUUCAACAGAAGAGAUAACUCUUGAUUUAGGGUCUGAUUUAGUAGAGCAAUUAGCAAAGCAGGCUGUGAAGAAUGUUCGAGAUAGAGAUAAAGAAGAAACAAAGAAGAGAGAAUAUGAUAAACAAGCAUUGAAGCGUGCAAAGCUUGCAAAAGUCCGAGAACACAAUGAAGCAGUCUUACGAGAAGCUGCAAUGGCAUCAACUUCAAGAUCGGAGGCUUUUGGUGAGGAUUUGGGGGCUACCAAUAUGGAUAAACCCUUGGCCAGAAAUAAGAAGCAAACUCUAGCCUCCAUGUUGCGCAAGAAAAUAACAACAAAAGAUCGGUUAGGUCAAAAACUUUUGAACACCCGGGUAAGGGAUGAAACUAUGAGACAGCUAACGCUGGGUGAGGAUGCAAACUACAGAGAAGCCUUCCCAAAUCAGUGGUAGAACUCUUUUCCCUGUUGCACCAUAGGCUGGCUUUCUUGGAGGCAGGAAGUACAAUGGAUUCAUACGCCCAGUAAUGCUCAGGUGCAUUUCAGGUUUAUUUAUUCAAACUCUCAAACCUAGUGCAUGAACUUGUUGCUGUCUGCCUUCUGAUAAUCCAUUUGCUGAUUUAAUGCAAUCCGGGCUUGAAGAAUGGUGAAUGAUCCAAGGGGAGCCGUCCAGUCUAUAAUUUUUGCCACAAUGGACACACACUCUGUUCAAGCUGUAAAGCAAGGGUACUCAACAAAUGUCCCAGUUGUAGGCAGCAGCUCGGUAAUAUAAGGUGUCUAGCUCUGGAGAAGAUGGCCAAAUCACUUGAACUGCAUUGCUAGUAUGAGGAGUUUGGAUGCCCUGAGAUCAUCCCUUACCACACCAAGCUCAUGCAUGAAGACUUCCGGCCAUACAGCUGCCCAUGGUAUGGAUGUCCGUGCUCUGCUGUUGGGGAUAUUCCACUCCUUGUUUCUCACCUGACAGAUUAUCACAAGGCAGUCAUGCUCUAUGGCUGCAAGUUCCUUUUUUUAACACGGCAAUCUUCAGAGGGAGUGACAGUAUUGGAAACUUUGGAAUGUUGGUCCUUUGAGAGAUCAUAGGAGAGUGAACUGGGAACAGAUUCUUCAUGCUUUUUGCUCGAAAUGAAAUUUGCUUUUGUGUUUUGCUGCUUCUGGUAUAUUACUCUUCUGUCAUAAAUAUGGUGUUAUGCAUCUAAAGGUGCCUACUUGCUCUGUUA